rnacentral:lncRNA from 1 species
CCAUAAUGAGAUGUAGUUAGCCCAACACCCCUCUAUCCCUUUGUGCGUAUCCCGUAUCAGCAACAGAAGUCGGAAUCCCUCAUCUUUCUUCCUCACGUUCUUAAUCAGAUUCUACACAAAAAAAAUCGAGGUACCCUCUUCUUAUCCCAGUCUUCUUUUCUCUGCUCAAAAUGGGGCAAAUCAACCCCCUUUUCUUUUUGAUUCGAUCACAACCUCUCUCUCUCUCUCUCUCUCUCUCUCUCUCUCUCUCUCUCUCCUUGCAAUCGAUCUCUAACCCUCCUUCACAAUCGAUAGCAGGUCUAUAUUUUUCAAACGAUCCCAGGAAACGACGAUGAAAAUGAAGGUUGUAUGGAGGCUCAAAGGUCGGUCGUCGUGCGUGGUGGUGUUGGGACGAAGCCAGUAAGUUGUGGAUGAUUGUGUGGUGUGUGGAAGCUGGAAUCAGGAAAGGGUGAAAGAGGAUGAAUGGUGAGGUGUAUGGUGAUAUAAGGUGGUUCGGUGGUGGCUGUUUGUGUGGGUGAUUUGGCGGAUAACGGAGGCUGUAACGGAGGGUGAAGUGGGGUUUAGGUGGAGGUCAAAAGGAUUGAGGGUAAAGGAGGUUCAAGGGUGGAAUAAGGUUGUCACGGUGGUGGCUGAUGAAUGGAGGAGGGUGGUACUUGGUGGUGUUGUGCAGGUAAAUAGCAGGGGACGAUAGUGGGGGGUUGGUGAUUGUGUAAGCUGUGAAGGGAGUAAUAAGGGUGGUGAAAUGGAGUUGGGUCUCGUGGGUAUGGAAGACGUUUAAUGGUCGAGUUUUUGAUGAUGAUGAAUGGAGGAAUAAGGUGAAGGAGAUGGAGGAAAGAGGUGGUUUUUUUUUGAGUUACGGGUGGAGAAGGGCUAAGGCGAAGAUGGUCGGUGAUGAAAAGGUUCCAUUGUUUUUUUUAUUUCGAGAAAAAUCUUCAAACAGAGCAAAUCAACGAAUGACUUUUGUAUUUUUGAAAUCCAUGAAUCAUGUAAUUAGAAAUCUCCAAUUUUCUUUGUCAUAGAGUUGUGUGUUGUAUAUAACUUUGGUCUUUGUAGUUGAGUUGUGUGUUAACCCGAACAAAAACCAAAAUUCGUUACUGAAUUCAGAUGCAAAAACCAAAACAAAAACCAAUAUUAGUUACCUCAAUGCAGAUGCAAAAUGCAACAUUUUAUAUUAUGCAUCUCCAACCCACCCCAAAUGUCAUUUUUUCCUUCAUUUUCUCCCCCAUUCUUCUACAACCCUACCCUAUUUCUCCCCCCAUGUGAAGAUAUGAAUAGUAUUACCUCGUAGAUACUAUUCAUACUAACUCCUCCAUUUUUCUAUAACCCUACCCCAUUUCUCCCCCCAUAUGUGGAGAUAUGAAUAGUAUUACCUCAUGUAUGGGGUGAUACUAUUCAUACUAACUCCCACGAACCCAUUGAAUAGACUGAGGGGAACCCGAAAAACUUGGGUUGCACUUGUGAUGACAAGUGGUGAUGUAAACCGUC